GAGUGCUGGGAGGUAAAAAGGGAGAACCUCUGGACCUUGUUCCUGACUGUGUAUGUAUCUUUCCCAUCUUAGGAAGCUUUAAAUGACACUGUGAACUGGCUGCAAAGAAGAAUCAGCUAGCAGCUGCAGGCAACAAAUUGAACAAACACGGGAACAGCUGCAGCAGGCAGAGCUCACCUUUAGAUACCAGUUCAUGAGAAGAAUGCUCAGGACAACGAGGGAUGACACCUGCACUGUUAGUUGUCUAGUAGACGACGUGGUGUUGCAACUCUUAUAGAAGUCCAUUAUUUUUCUGUAUCCAAGACUGGACGGGAUGGAACCAAAGAGGCUGCCU